UUACUGAACUGUUAACAUGAGUUGUUGCUGGCCUUCAAACGGGGGCAUGUGCACGCUCUGUUUACACAUCCACCCACCCCUGUGCACCUUUUGUAGUUCUAUGGUCCGGAGGCUCUGCUUCCCUCCUGUAGUUCUACGUCUUUACACACACAUGUCAAAGAAGUCUUGUGGAAUGUACGUCGCGUUUAACGCAAUACAAUACAACUUUCAGCAACGGAUCUCUUGGCUCUCGCAUCGAUGAAGAACGCAGCGAAAUGCGAUAAGUAAUGUGAAUUGCAGAAUUCAGUGAAUCAUCGAAUCUUUGAACGCACCUUGCGCCCUUUGGCCAUUCCGAAGGGCAUGCCUGUUUGAGUAUCAUGAACACCUCAACUCUCACGGUUUCUCGUGAUGAGCUUGGACUUGGGGGUUUUGUUGGCCUGUGGUCAGCUCUCCUCAAAUGAAUUAGCUUGCCGGUGUCUGGCGGCAUCAUGGGUGUGAUAUAUAUCUACGCUUGUGAUUGCCUGCGAGGUAAACCUCUGGUCUGCAGGGGUUCGCUGGAGCUUAUAGAUGUCUCUCAGUGGAGACAGCUGUCUGAAGUUCGAUCUCAAAUCAGGUAGGAUUACCCGCUGAACUUAAGCAUAUCAAUANGCCG
rnacentral:rRNA from 1 species